rnacentral:rRNA from 1 species
UACGUAGGGUCCGAGCGUUGUCCGGAAUUAUUGGGCGUAAAGGGCUCGUAGGCGGUUCGUCACGUCGGGAGUGAAAACUCGGGGCUUAACCCCGAGCCUGCUUCCGAUACGGGCAGACUAGAGGUAGGCAGGGGAGAGCGGAACUCCUGGUGUAGCGGUGGAAUGCGCAGAUAUCAGGAAGAACACCCGUGGCGAAGGCGGCUCUCUGGGACGGUACUGACGCUGAGACGCGAAAGCGUGGGGAGCGAACAGG